CAUACUAUUUACAAAUGUAGACAACCCAAGGUAUUGCAAAUGGUGCAUGCCCAGUCUUUUUUAGUAGCCACUUAGUCACAAACAUAGGCCAAAAUUUGCAUUAUUUUUUUUUUUUUUACAUUUUUCACACACAAACAAAUAUGGCCAGUAUUUGUGACUAAGUGGCUACUAACAAAAGACUAGACAUACCCCAUUUAUAAUACCUAUAUAAUACCUUGGGUUGUCUACUUUUGCAAAUGGUAUU